rnacentral:lncRNA from 1 species
CACAGAAGGUACACAAUAAAUGGCAGUGAAUUAAAUGGACAAAACAGAUUGCUGUGGAACGGUUUGUGAUUGCUAUUUUGAAAACCUGGUCAUAUAUUUUUAGCCUGCAAAACCUCUGCUUUGACACAUUUCCUCAUGGGGACACACUGCAGCUGCUGAAAGAAGGGAAGUCCCAGCACUGCUUUCUCACCAUGGAACAGCAGGAGAGGAAAGCCUUUUGAAUUCUAGCCAUGAUAACCCUAAAGUUUACAUGGCCACAGACUCCAGCUUUGCCAGGAAAGUUUAGAAUAAAUCCCCUUCCACCCCUGCCCCUGGUGCCAAACUUGGAAGAAUGACUUCAUGGAUGGAAAUCUAUGCAAAUGUCUCUCAUAUUUGGAAUUGAGCUUCUACGAAGGCCAGUGCCAUUUUUCUCCUGCUGUUUACUGCCCAUCUCCAUGGAAAACAAGACACAUUCCCAGAAGUGAAAGUGCAGAUUCAAAGAACCUACUCCAGGCUCCAGAAGGAGAUGAGAAGAUGAACAGAAGAGCAGAAGAAUGGCAGAAUGGCAUGGCAGAGAGAAGAAAAGGAGCAUCUGAAUGCCAAGAGGAGUUUGACUGGGUGUGGCCAGAGAGGAGUUCAGCUGCUGGAUGAUCAAACUCCAGGGGAAGAUCAUCUUCCCACUUCCUCCCUGUGCUAGUCCCCCAUCGAUCCCACUGAGAGCCACCUCUUCCACCCAAGAAAACCCCCACAUUUACCACCCUUAAGUCUGUGUGUGAGUUGAUUCUUCUGGGUUGCUGGAUAAGAGCUCCACAUACAGAAAGCUGUCACACUGGCCUUCUGCCAUUGUGAAAAGGCAGAGGGUUCACUGAGCUGGUUAACACGUAAGCCGUCUGCAGAUGGCAAAGCUAAAAGAGCGCACUGUAACACAUGUCACACCCACUUAGGCUUUGGGAGUUGCAGGCACACACCUCUAGUUGCUACCAUGGGGCCAGAGCCCCAGAGCACUCACCCUGGCUCCUGUGCCUGCCUGUCUGCGUGCUCCCCCAACUCUAAAAUGUUUGAGUGUACGGCAGCCGAAUGCAUAGGCCCCCACCCCUGUCGCAUGUUCUGCAAGUGGUUCAGGGAACUCUCCCGUUACGAUAAGGAGAAAUACAAACUUGUUGACAAUCUUAGAACAUAAUUGACUAAAGAAUGACUGAAUUUUCAACUAUUCUGUAAAUCUAAAAUUAUUCCAAAAUCAAGUUUAUUAAAAAAGAAACAAAAAGUAAGCUACCAUGUGAUGAGGGAGACAGCUCUAGUCACUGGAAAUGUUGAAACAGAGUAUAGAAAAUCUCUUGGUGGGAAGUAUGUACAAUGGACUGAAGCAUGAGUCAAUUAUCCAGUGUAUUUACUACAUUUAUAUUGACAUGUCACAGAGAGGAGGGGACAGAAAGUAUUGUGUAUGACAGAUUCAAUAUUAAAAAUUGUCAUGAUAGGUUGCAACCAACCAGGUAAAAUAUCAAAAGGAUAAACAUAAUGCCACACAUUUGGGUUUACAAUCUCAAUUGCUUUAUAUAUAUUAAAUAAAAAUGUAUAGUACAUAAUUAAU